CAGAAGUUGACAGAAGGAGGGAGAGUCCAGCCAUCUCCAAGCAACACCUGCUUGUGGGAGGGAAGCGGGGCUGGCGGAGCCUUUCCCAAACAGCUGGUGUGCAGUUGGCCGUGCUGUAGACGGGCUGUCCCAGCGAGGUGGAGAGUAAAGUCUGGACCGUAAACCUGCUGCUUCUGCGGGCAGGUUUACACUCACUGCUCAGGCCCUUGUGACUGCCAUUAAUCAUCAAACCACGGUGAUCAUGCUUUUGUGUGGGACCUUAACACUGCUAUCAAGACCCUGGGUGAGAAAUAAACUUUGCCAUUAGCCAUCAGCUUUUGGUCAUUCACUGUGUCCGCGGUGGUCUCCCCGAGCCCCCUCUAGAAGGAGACCUCAACAACCAUCCACAUAACUAUAUGGGAUGACACCGUAGUAAAGCGGCUAAUUGUGAAGCUGCCUGAAGAGGAACACAGAACAGCAACCAUCGAGGGGAUUAUAUUUAAGUGCUUGCUGCUGCAAGCCACUCCUCUUUUCUUGUUAUCUUGGUCUACUGUACAUCAGAGGGAAACCUGGCACGGAGAGGUUCCAUCGCUCAAAGGGCAGUAGAAUGGACUGAACUGGAGAAGCUUGGAGAGGUGGUGGCAGGGCUGCCCUCAUACAAGUGGCAUAGAGUUCAUGUGUAACCUACACACCUUCCUCUCUGGAAUGUCUCAUACCAGUGUAAAAGGCUGUUUAGGAAAUAAUGGCCACAAAUAAAUAC